rnacentral:rRNA from 1 species
UAGGGAAUCUUCGGCAAUGGGGGCAACCCUGACCGAGCAACGCCGCGUGAGUGAAGAAGGUUUUCGGAUCGUAAAGCUCUGUUGUAAGUCAAGAACGGGUGUGAGAGUGGAAAGUUCACACUGUGACGGUAGCUUACCAGAAAGGGACGGCUAACUACGUGCCAGCAGCCGCGGUAAUACGUAGGUCCCGAGCGUUGUCCGGAUUUAUUGGGCGUAAAGCGAGCGCAGGCGGUUUGAUAAGUCUGAAGUUAAAGGCUGUGGCUCAACCAUAGUUCGCUUUGGAAACUGUCAACUUGAGUGCAGAAGGGGAGAGUGGAAUUCCAUGUGUAGCGGUGAAAUGCGUAGAUAUAUGGAGGAACACCGGUGGCGAAAGCGGCUCUCUGGUCUGUAACUGACGCUGAGGCUCGAAAGCGUGGGGAGCGAACAGGAUUAGAUACCCUGGUAGUCCACGCCGUAAACGAUGAGUGCUAGGUGUUGGAUCCUUUCCGGGAUUCAGUGCCGAAGCUAACGCAUUAAGCACUCCGCCUGGGGGAGUACGACCGCAAGGUUGAAACUCUA